CUCACGAGAGGCAGUGCGAAGCACCUGGCUGACUGCCCGGCAACCUCUACUCCGUCUGAGGUGCUCCAGGGGAAGAGCCGGCUGUCGCGGCGUCCGCCACGGUGGCAAGGACGG
rnacentral:ncRNA from 1 species